rnacentral:rRNA from 1 species
AACAGGAUUAGAUACCCUGGUAGUCYUAGCCAUAAACGAUGUUCACUAGGUGUUGGGGCGUAAGCCUCGGUGCCGCAGCUAACGCAUUAAGUGAACCGCCUGGGGACUACGGCCGCAAGGUUGAAACUCAAAGGAAUUGGCGGGGGCCCGCACAAGCGGUGGAGCAUGUGGCUUAAUUCGAUGCAACGCGAAGAACCUUACCAGGGCUUGACAUGGAACUGCAAGCCGGUGAAAGCCGGUCGCCUUCGAGGGUGUUCCACAGGUGGUGCAUGGCUGUCGUCAGCUCGUGUUGUGAAAUGUUGGGUUAAGUCCCGCAACGAGCGCAACCCUCAUGUUUUGUUACCAGCGGGUAAAGCCGGGAACUCGAAACAAACUGCCUCUGUAAAGAGGAGGAAGGUGGGGAUGACGUCAAGUCAUCAUGCCCCUUACGCCCUGGGCUGCACACAUGCUACAAUGGCCGGUACAAAGGGUCGCUCACUCGCGAGAGUAUGCUAAUCCCAAAAAGCCGGUCUCAGUUCGGAUUGGAGUCUGCAACUCGACUCCAUGAAGUCGGAAUCGCUAGUAAACGCCGGUCAGCAAUACGGCGUUGAAUACGUUCCCGGGCCUUGCACACACCGCCCGUCACGUGACGAAAGUUGGUCUUACCCGAAACCGGCGCGCUAACCGCAAGGGAGCAACCGUCUAAGGUAGGGCCGAUGAUUGGCGCGAAGUCGUAACAAGGUAGCCGUAUCGGAAGGUGCGGCUGGAUCACCUCCUU